rnacentral:rRNA from 1 species
GAUGAACGCUGACAGAAUGCUUAACACAUCAGCAAUUGACUGGUGGCGGACGGGUGAGUAACGCGUAAAGAACUUACCUCACAGUUAGGGACAACAUUUGGAAACGAAUGCUAAUACCUAAUACUGUGAGAGAGCUUUGCGUCCCAUUAGCUAGUUGGAGAGGUAACGGCUCACCAAGGCGAUGAUGGGUAGCCGGCCUGAGAGGGUGAUCGGCCACAAGGGGACUGAGACACUGCCCUUACUCCUACGGGAAGCAGGAGUGGGGAAUAUUGGACAAUGGACCAAAGUGUGAUGCAGCAAUUCUGUGUGUACGAUGAAGUUUUCGGAAUGUAAAGUGCUUUCAGUUGAGAAGCGGUACCAACAGAAGAAGCGACGGCUAAAUACGUGCCAGCCGCCGCGGUAAUAC